GUAGGCUAAAUAAAAAUUCCAGAACCCCCAUGUCAUAAUGCUCCCUCCCAUGGUGUCAUGCCACCAUGACCUGAAGUGGGAGGUGCGAUCUGAAUCACUGAUACUGGGUGGUAUAAAAGGCGAAAGCAAGUAACGGCCAGAGAAAGAGAGCUCCUGUUCUGCUGAGGUGUUCCAGGCAGGAGAGACUGAUGGAAGUCCAGUGAGGAUGUCUGUGCACGUUCCUGAGUAGCGGACAGUAUCUGCUGCUGCUUUGGAGCCCCUGAUCCUGGAAGCUUGGAUGGAAUGCUCUUCCGGGAGAUUGGAAUGCUAGCGUAGUUCCUUGAGAACCUCCUCUGUCUCUUCUGUCAAUCUAAAAAGAUCAACCAAGUCAAAGUGUUGAAAUAAAAAGAACCUCAUUUGGGCAUAAGUCUGAGGACCACGCCUGGCAUGGAGCCCAGACAAAGUAGUUGGAUAUCUCCUCCACAGUGGACAUCUAUGCUGACGAAGAUGGUGAAGAAAGCAACAAAGCCCAUGAGAAAAGCAAUCACCGUGGAUGAGAAGAUACUGCUGUGUACGAAGCUACUGCCCGUUGUCCCCUUCUUGUGCUGGUUGAUGGGACACAGGACACUGACCCAUGUGUCACCAGGAGCUCCCUGCAGUUCUAACGGGCCCCAGGGAACUGCAGAAAUACUUAAGCAGUUGCUUUCUUCUGGUCCUCUCUGCAACUAAUAAAUAGGCAGAUGUCCUCAGGUAAGAGCAACGUGCCUGGCCUGGUUGCAUUUCCCUCCUCGCUGGGCUCCAGGCACCCUGUGGCCUGGCUUUCCUGGAUUUCUGUCUCAUGCUUCUAAUAGUUGUUUGGUAUGCAUGUUUUUCCAGC